GCCUUCGUAGUGUAAUGAUUAGCACACUCGGCAUGUAUUCGAGAGAUCCAGGUUCGAGUCCCGGAGAGGGCA
rnacentral:tRNA from 1 species